CAGAGAGCACUCAUCUCCUAGGUUAAGCGCAUCAUCCGCCUGCGUACGCCCCCCUCCCCCUGACUCUCGCAUACCCAUACCGGUAGGUAUAUACAUAUAUAUAUAUAUACGUGUGUAUAUCAGCCCUCAUAGAGAAGGAACAAGCCUCCCUGAACAGGAAGAGCAACGCGUUCGCGGCGUCAUCGGCAUACGCCGACUGGCUCCACUCCCUUUUUAGCAGCCACACGGACAAGCACGCACCCGCCACAUGCACAUACGCGUUCCCAUCGAGCUCUAGAUACCGACACACGUACGAAUACAUAUAUAUAUAUAUAGAGAGAGAGAGAGAGAGGCACGCACACGCACCCAUACGCGCCCGUGGACAUACACGGCCCUCGGUGAUACGGGCUCUUGCUCUUCAUAACGGAUCGGACGCGCCUCGUCACGGCUGUGCGAGUGCGUGUUUGCUUGCCUCCCUUCGUCCUCAGGUUCCUCCUUGCAAGCAGACGGACAAUGCUCCGCCGGACGUUCCUGCGUCGCGAUCAUCGCGAGAACAUCAUCCGCAUCUUCCAGGAGAUGGCGGAUUUGAACAACGCUCUGGGCGAGAAAUACAAGGUGAGCAGCUACCACCGCAGCAUCGAGAGUCUCAAGACGAACCUCGACAAGCCUCUCAACACCCCGCAGGACCUGAAGGCGUUCUCCGGCUUCGGCGCGAAGCUGCUGAAAAAAGCAGAAGAGAUCAUGGCCACCGGGAAGCUCGAGGAGCUGGAGAGCAAGACGAAGCCGAAGCUCAAAGCCAUCCAGGAGCUAACACAGGUGCACGGCUUCGGCCCUCGCGCCGCCGCGGCGCUCUUCGACCGAGAGGGCAUCUUCACCGUGGAUGAGCUGCUGCAGAAGGCUGACAGCAUCCCGUCGUUGACGGACCAGCAACGUGUCGGCAUCAAGUACUUCUACGACAUCAACGAAAAGAUCCCGAUGCAAGAGAGCGUGCUGCAUGAGAACUACCUGCGCGAGAAGUGCAUGGAGGUGCUCGGCAAGGACUUCUCGAUUCUUAUCUGUGGUAGCUACCGCCGUCGCCACCCCUUCAGUGGUGAUGUGGACGCGAUCCUAUCACGCACGCUCGACGCGCCGCCGCUGAGCGAGCCGGUCGCCGCGACCGGCGUACUAGGACACUUUGUGGAGUUCCUCGAGAGCCUCAAGUACCUGGAGGCGACCAUGGCGCAGGGGCCCCUCAAGUACAUGGGGAUGGGCCGGCUGCCGCCCCGCAUCGUCCGCGACAAGGCUGGCCGCGAGAACACGAAGGUGUACAAGGCGCGCCGUGUGGAUAUCCGUCUCAUCGAGACAAAGAGCGUGCCGACGGCGAUGCUCACCUUCACGGGAAGCAAGAACUUCAACGUCAUUAUGCGCCAGGCCGCCAUCAGCAAGGGCUACUUGCUGAACGAAUACGGCCUCUUCAAGCUGGGCACACCCGAAGAAGCGCGUGCGCUGUACGAGCGCAUCGGCAUUCGCGGUAAGAAUGCUGGCGAGGAGCUUGGCGUCCCGAAGGACGAGCUGGAGGACAAGCGUGUUGAGGUGCGGUCGGAGCAGGAUGUGUUCGACGUACUUGGGAUGCCCUACGCCAAGCCGGAGAACCGCGACCCUUAAAGUUGCACUGUGAUCACGUAAGCAUAGAGAGGGCGAGGCGAAGAUGAAAGGCCUUUGCCGCAUCCCAGCGGCACACCAUAGAGUGUUCGGGAGCGAGUGCGACAACGCAAGGAGGAAGGGGGUGGGUGGGGAGGGGCAUUCUGAAAGAGAGAGGAAGAAAGCUAAACCCUGCGCUGCCGUGCUUGGCGGUGCGGCUGUGUGGGGCGCCUACACGCGUGCCGUUGGCUGUUGCUCAGUGCUUCGGCCCCUCCCCUCUGCUUCCUCUGCUUCUUCGCCCUUCCUCUCCGUUCUCUUCUUGGGCCACGCUGUGCUGUUCCUGAGCGCGGCUUUACAUACACACACACAUAGGUGUAUGCACCCCAUCUUUAUAGAGCGCCGGCGCGCUUGCAUCCUUCGUGCGCGUUGUCGUCGUGGUGCGGUGAUGUUGAGCGGUACCUCGUUAUUUUCUGUUCUUGUCGUCCCUUUUUUUGUGUGCGUUGCGGCACCCCGUGAUGGCCGGUCGGGUGUCCCCCUCCUCCGUGCGUGGUAUCAACAGGAUACCGUGCACCUUACCCCCCCCCCCCCCCCCCCCACUAUCUCUCUGUGUGUGCUUAGGUGUUGGUGAUGUGUGCGGCGUGUUUUCCCGUUGUAUGCGUGGCGUUGCUCUGGUGCAUCCGUCACAACGCGGCCUGUAGCGGCGGUGAUAAACGAAGAAGCAGGAGAGCACGAGGGAAGGAUCUUCUCCGCCCCCCCCCUCCCCCCUCGCCAAGAGGGUGUGGGUGGGAUGCGCGUGUGUGCUUGUAAACUGUGGCUUACUCUGUUGUGUUGUCCACCUUCGCUCGGCUCCUGUUCGUUGGGUUCGUUCAUCAUGGUGUCGAGCCAAAGUACAGUGAAACC
rnacentral:misc_RNA from 1 species